GAUGCAAGCUUGAUUUCCAAAAUCUCAACACUUGGAGCAAAUUGGUAAGUCUGCAAUUUUGUCUAUUCUGGGAGCUGUGCAAAUGCAAUGCCUGUUGGAGCAGACACCAGUUGGCAGGGCAGUAUUCAGCUGUAGGUAAUGGGGUAGGUAGGUCCCCUCCCCCUUUCCUUCCCUCCCUUUCUCCUUCCUGGCUGUGAGGAUGAAGCCCCAGGAGUAUGAGAUCUGUUAGGUGCUGGUUUUUCUCAAGACUAGUGGUUGGAGGAUUCCCACUACGGCUGUGCUGCUGGGUCUUUUCCUCGGGUGUUUACUACUUUAGCGGUUUCCAGCAGUGAUC